GAUGAACGCUGGCGGCGUGCCAAAUACAUGCAAGUCGAGCGAACGGACGAGAAGCUUGCUUCUCUGAUGUUAGCGGCGGGCGGGUGAGUAACACGUGGAUAACCUACCUAUAAGACUGAGGUCACUUCGGGAACCCGGAGCUAAUACCGGAUGAUAUUUUGAACCGCAUGGAUCAACAGUGAAAGACGGUCUUGCUGUCACUUAUAGAUGGAUCCGCGCUGCAUUAGCUAGUUGGUACGGUAACGGCUUACCAAGGCAACGAUGCAUAGCUGAUCUGAGAGGGUGAUCAGCCACACUGGAACUGAGACACGGUCCAGUCUCCUACGGGAGGCAGCAGUAGGGAAUAUUCCACAAUGGGCGAAAGCCUGACGCAGCAACGCCGCGUGUGUGAUGAAGGUCUUCGGAUCGUAAAACACUGUUAGUUGGGAAGAACAUCUGUAAAUGAAUCUGUGCAUAUCUUGACGUUACCUACACAGAAAGCCACGGCUAACUUCGUG
rnacentral:rRNA from 1 species